GAUGAACGCUGGCGGCGUGCCUAAUACAUGCAAGUCGAACGAACAGACGAGGAGCUUGCUCCUCUGACGUUAGCGGCGGACGGGUGAGUAACACGUGGAUAACCUACCUAUAAGACUGGGAUAACUUCGGGAAACCGGAGCUAAUACCGGAUAAUAUAUUGAACCGCAUGGUUCAAUAGUGAAAGACGGUUUUGCUGUCACUUAUAGAUGGAUCCGCGCCGCAUUAGCUAGUUGGUAAGGUAACGGCUUACCAAGGCAACGAUGCGUAGCCGACCUGAGAGGGUGAUCGGCCACACUGGAACUGAGACACGGUCCAGACUCCUACGGGAGGCAGCAGUAGGGAAUCUUCCGCAAUGGGCGAAAGCCUGACGGAGCAACGCCGCGUGAGUGAUGAAGGUCUUCGGAUCGUAAAACGCUGUUAUUAGGGAAGAACAAAUGUGUAAGUAACUAUGCACGUCUUGACGGUACCGAAUCAGAAAACCACGGCUAACUACGU
rnacentral:rRNA from 1 species